rnacentral:misc_RNA from 1 species
AAGUCGUAACAAGGUUUCCGUAGGUGAACCUGCGGAAGGAUCAUUACCAAAUCCAAAACCUUAUCAACACCUAAACAUGUGCACUGAGAGUGGUCCGUUCUCCACUUCCCUUUCUCCUCCUUCACGGGCUGGGGGGGGGAGCGGAGAGCGUUUUUUUCUCAACCCCUUUUCAACCAUUACCUUAACCAUGUGAUGCUGAAAGCAAAAAAAACGAAACAUGAGACAACUUUUAACGGUGGAUCUCUUGGCUCGU